rnacentral:rRNA from 1 species
AUACGGAGGGUGCAAGCGUUAUUCGGAAUUAUUGGGCUUAAAGGGUGCGUAGGCGGCUUAGUAGGUGGGGUGUGAAAUCCCUCGGCUCAACCCAGGAAUUGCGUUCAAUACUAAUAGACUAGAGACCGAGAGAGGAUAGUGGAAUUUCCAGUGUAGAGGUGAAAUUCGUAGAUAUUGGAAAGAACACCAGUGGCGAAAGCGGCUAUCUGGCUCGGAACUGACGCUGAGGCGCGAAAGCGUGGGGAGCAAACAGGAUUAGAUACCCCGGUAGUCC